rnacentral:lncRNA from 1 species
AGGAAUAUGGAAAAGAAAAGUAAGAGUUUGGAGAUAAGAAGAAAGGGAUCUGGUGAGAGUUGGAGCGGGUGGGAAUCUGGAAAGAGAGAAGGGAGACUUGGGAGAGUGGGGGGUGGGGUUGCGUGAAUGAAAAUAGGUAAGUAAAAAUAGGUAGAAAUUUAGGAUUUCAGAAUAAAGUAAAUAAAUAGGGUUAAAAGUAAAAAAUGUUAUUUUUGUAAUUAAAAAAAAUUGUAGAGAGUUAGAGGAGGUGGAGGGAACAAAGGGUGGUGGUGGAGGGAGUAACACCCAAUGUAAUUUUAUUGAUAUUUCUCGUGAGUUAUGAAGCUUGGAGAAAAGCCUAGAGCCAAGUGUCAACUUUCAUGGUUCAAUUUAAUCCCUCAUGCUAGCUUGCUAAAUUUGAUAGAACUAGUUUCAUAUCAUGAUCCAAUUAUUCUGAAGCUUUAGCAUCGCAAGUUUAGAUUUGACGAUGCAUGAGUGGAG